CAGGAUGAACGCUAGCGACAGGCCUAACACAUGCAAGUCAGGGGCAGCACAAGGAGCAAUCUGAGGUGGCGACCGGCGCACGGGUGAGUAACACGUAUGCAACCUGCCUGUAAGCGGGGAAUAACCCGUUGAAAGACGGACUAAUACCGCAUAAUACUAAAUUACUGCAUGGUAAUUUAUUUAAACAUUUAUGGCUUACAGAUGGGCAUGCGCAUGAUUAGCUAGUUGGAGAGGUAACGGCUCCCCAAGGCAACGAUCAUUAGGGGUUCUGAGAGGAAGGUCCCCCACACUGGUACUGAGACACGGACCAGACUCCUACGGGAGGCAGCAGUGAGGAAUAUUGGUCAAUGGACGAGAGUCUGAACCAGCCAAGUCGCGUGCAGGAAGAAUGUCCUAUGGAUUGUAAACUGCUUUUGCAGGGGAAUAAAGUGCAUCACGUGUGAUGUUUUGUAUGUACUCUGCGAAUAAGGAUCGGCUAACUCCGUGCCAGCCGCCGC
rnacentral:rRNA from 1 species